AUUUAAAUAGCUUAAAUUAAAAGUAUAAUAUUGAAAAUAUUAAGAUAAAUAAAUUUUUUAAAUA
rnacentral:tRNA from 1 species